rfam:Schistosoma curassoni strain Dakar, Senegal genome assembly, scaffold: SCTD_scaffold0008231
AUCCAGCUGACAAGUCCCAAAUAAGGCUAAACGUGAGUCCUAGAU